AAAAUUUGAAGACUGCAAGGGCCAAAAAAAAAAAAAAUGCAAGGAGGAAAAAUAAAAAAUUUCCAAACCUGCAAUAACUUCCCACGUCCCAAACCCAGUAAUUAACUUUCAGUUUCAAUCGUCAAAGCUUCUCUCUAUUUCUCUCUAUUGAAGUGGUGAAGCAGUAGUGAAUAGAAAAAGACAAAAACUGCUAGAUGAAGGUAUUUCUGAUUUGAUCGAUCUUCUGAGAAUUUGCAAGAGACUUUUCUGGAUUUAAAAGAAGGUGAACAUACAUUAGUCUCGAAGAGAAUGAAUCUUUUAAUGGUACGUGGCUGUGUUUUGGUAUUCAAGUAUUAAUGGCAAGCCAAAUUACUUCUGUUGGUGUAAUGACAAAAUUUAUUCACUCAAAUCUAGGCUUGAAAGCCACUAAGGAUCUAAAUUCUCAAAUGUAAGCAAAGCAUAAUGCCUAGACAAAGCACACACUAUUCUCUAAUUACAUUUAA